GAACAGGAAGUCAACCAACCUCAGACCAGACACCAGGGGGAUUUUGCACCUGCAGGAAACAUCCGGACCUCUGAGAUCUGUGAGAGUGCAGGUCGUCCAUGACCGGUCUCAGCUUCAUUCAUGUCUUUAGCUCUCAGGUGUGCUCACAUUUUAAACCAUCAGAUGGCAGCACACACCAGAGCAGAGUCAGAGGGAGCAGGAGGAUCCAGUCCUCUAAAGGAACACAUUCAGGUGUGUGAAUCCAUGAAGAGGAAGACAACCGAUCAGAGGGUCCUGAGGGGGUUCGUCAUGUCCCGGUGAGCCCCUACGAAGCUUCCCCAAAGCGACUACGAGUUCCAAAUCGAUCAAUACAAUAAUCUGUAAUCAAUAAACUAUCUUUCAAAUCUCA